UCACCCAGAAACUAGGAGAGGUAAUAGCAUCCAGGGACAGAGGGAGCUGCUGAGACAGAUAGGGCUCUGGCUGGGCCACAGCUACACAGAGCAAAGUCUGAGUGUCUAUUCUUUCCUAGCCCAGGACGAGCAGUCACACAAAUUGCAUCUGCACAAAACUGGGGGAACUGGGGCAAAACCAGCCAUCCCAGACUAAUUACCUUACUCAUACUGAAAAAGCAGUCGAGGAGGGUGUUCUGCCCAGGCUCUGACUCAGGGAGCUGCAUCUCAGCAUCCUUCCACCUCUCACCUACCCUUCAUUCCUAGGAUCUUUAAGAGGAGAUGUGGAUGUACAUCAAAGAGGACGUUUAAGAGGUGAAGGCUAGAGAUGGAGCUUCUUGUGUGUUCCAACCUCCCACAUGGUUGAACUGGUUUCUCUCUGUACAAAGGGAAAACAAUCUGCACAAAAUUGGGGGGUGGGGACGAAACCAGUGAUCCCAGACGGGCCGUCUUACUUGUACACACAGGCCUCGCAACACCCUAUGUGUGGACUUUCUCA